CGGGCGUCGGCGGUCGCUUGCUUUCUUGUUGCCGUGGCUUGGCGGAGGGCGUUCGAUCCGCCGCCUCGCUCCCUCCCUCCCUCCCGGCGCUCGGCAUUCGCGGGGAUUCGGCGCAGGGCGAGCCCCGCUCCGCGUCGGUGAGAGCGGAGAGGAGAGGUGCCGCCGAGGCCCAGUCAGCUCCGGCUGGGCCGGCUCCUGUGAUGUCCCUCAUCCCCGGGCGGGAAGCAGCCCGGCGCCUGGCCGGGCCUCUGCCCCAGCAGCCCGGCAGCUGCUUAAUAGAGGGUUUUCCGUUCGCUGGCGUGGCGCAGCCCCGCCGGGUUUCCCUCCAGGCCGGCGGCGUGGCGAGCGCUCCCCGCCCUCCCACAGCCGCCCGGCCCGUCUGGUCCCGGCGCUUUGCCCCGCGGCUGCUGCGAGGUGGCGAGCUGCCUCCUCUUAGUGGCGGGAGCUGCUGUUAGCUUCGGCUUCGGCCAGUCCCUCGGGUACCUGAUUCACCUCUUCAAAGGGCAGCUAGGAAUGGCUCUUUGCUCCUCUUUCCUCUGGUAGUCCUUAAAGGCUGCAUCUGAGCACCCUCAUCCGCUCCAGCUGCUCAGCCCUGUUUUCUGCUGGGAUCACCAGGCUCAUCUCAGCCCCGGAGCCAAAGCCCUCAGUUGUCUCCCAACACAGCCAGAUGCUGCUGGCUUCCACCAUGCUGUUCAGACAAGUAAACAGAGGUGAAUCUCUGCUUUAUACAAAGUUUUAGACACAUGCUGCAAGUGCUUAGCUGAUGACGAAACGUUAAGACAGUAAGCAAACGUAUUAGCUAGCAGCUACAGCAAUGCGGGAUUUGAGAUGCUGUCUGCCAAGGCUGAACCAGAAUGAGGAAUGAAAAUCUGUGUUCUGGCAAGGUUACCGCUUAGCUGCAGUAGCACAAAGUUGGAAUUGAUGGAGACUUUUGUUUUCAUUUUAUUGUUAAAUAGGUGGGACGCUUCCCUCCAGAGCUUUUUGCAUCCUUAAAGAAAAUACGGCAUGUAAAUGAUUUCUGUGUCCCAAGGAAUCUGAGGCUUUGGGGGGGGAAACACAGCAGAGAAGCGUGGCUUGUGUUUGCGGGCGCUGGAGCGCUCUUUGGGGCAUAGGGGCUUGUUUGAUAGUAGCUUUCAGGACAGCUCUGGGCAAGUCGCUUGGAGGAGACUGUGGGAAAUAAUAGUUGUAGUUAUUCUAAGGAGCUUGGCAGUUUGCACAGCAGACUGGUAUGAAAGAGGAAAAGGAUACGGGGUGUGGCUGGAGCAAUCUGAGAAGCAGCCAUGCCUUGGGAAAAGUUCUGCGCUGACCUUUAUGGGGGAUCAUUGUUAAUUUCUGUGUUAAUAACACUGUAACACCCAGGUGGGGAGGAGUUUGGCCUCCACGCUGGGUCUGUGUGGGAAGAGCCGUUUGGGAGUGGUGUAUAUUCUCUCCAAAUAAUUCAGUUGCACGGAAAGGCAUGGAGUCACCGGACUCGGCUUUUUCUGGGUGCUGCUUCUUCCUGUGCAGCCUGGCACUGCAUUGGCUUCUGCUGCAAAUCAGAGGGCACUGGGGUGGCCUGUGGGACACUGCUGUACCUGCACUUUCUCAGAAUUUGGUUCUGCAUUGUGUGCAAUGAAGAGGAAACUGUUCUUGGUUUGUCACUGGACCUGUCUUUGUGGUAACAGAGAUGGCUCCGGAUUUCCCAGUGGAACAACUUAGGCUGCUUUUUUUAUCUUUUGGAAACUCAGGGGCAAAGUCAGAGGGAAGAAAUAGGCCAGGGACAGAUGGCUGAUGCAAGCGUGCUUUGGGGCAAGAAAAGGUAGCAGGGAACAGCAGAGCAAGGAGAAGUGAGACCAUAAACAAGAGUAAUUCCUGGUGGCAACCAGUGGGAGCUGCAGCAGUGUAGGAAAGCAUCAGUCUCCUUACAGCUGUGAAAGCCUGAUCUUCCUUUUCAUCUAGGUGUAACAGAUUACUCCAAAAUUAAACUCCUUCCUUUUUCCAGUAACCAAGUCUUUCAUUCUGCAGAGCCUUUUCUGUUCCUAUGAGCUUGCCUGGCUGUAACCAGCAUGCUCUACGCUAUGUAGUGGUGCAGGAAAUCUUCUGUUGUAAACACCUCAAGAGCGGGACACCCACCAGGGUAGUUUUAUUGGCCUAACUAACCAGGCUGGCUGGAGUUGAACUUGCUCAGUUGUUUAUUUACACAUGUAUGCAGCAAGCGGUUAGUAUAUUAGAGAGUGUAAAUGAGUAACUUAGAAAAAUCACAGAAUCGUGUUUCAGCAGGAUUGUCCUUCCUAAAUUGCUAAUUUGUGUAAGUAUUUUUCCAUGAAAAGUUCCUGAGUUGCCUCCAUCUUUUUGUUUAGAACAGUCAGAAAUUAAUAAUAAAUGUCUGCUUAAAGACUACCAAUUGCACCAUGCAUGAAGUGGAAAAAAUACAACAAUGCUAAGACUUUGCCCUUUUAAUGUCUUUAAUUGGAAGAUCUCGGAAGUUUGUCUGUUAGGAAUUCCGCCAACUGAUGGCCAUCCUUGACUGUUAGAGUUGGGCAAUUCAGGCAUUUAGGAUGCCUGAUCGCAAGAUGUUAAGGAUUUGUCCAAGGUCACAAGGACGGCCUGUGUCAGACACACAUCGUGACCAUGAACAUUUUAAGCUCUUGGAACAAAACCGGUAUCUUGCUCUGUGUGCAGUGCAUAGCAGACCUCUUACAGCAGUCAAAGUCCAUAAGCUUUGCUAGAGUGAAAAGAAAAAUAUAUUCCAUUGAGUAACAAUAAAAUUAUACUGAUGUCAAAUAAACACUGCUAACAGAACGAUUAACUGCUUCCGUGUCUGACGAGUCACGUUCUUACAGAAGCAGUUCACGUCUCUGAAUUUUUCGUGAGUGGGAAACAGCCUUCUAGACUGCUAGUUCAAUUUUCAUGAUGAUACAAAAAGCAAACAAAUGUUCGCAGCAAGAAAAAUGGGCACCAUACAAAGUAAAAGGAUUACUGAAAAUGAGAAAAGAACAGGUAAGGUAUGUCAGCAUCCUCGAGGCCCAUUUAUUCUUCUUUGUUGUAAAUUACAGGUCUACCCAUUAACAUCUCAAACAGAACUGGAAAAUUAAGGCCAACAGAACUUGUACUUGCCGAGUUGCUUUGCAGGGUAUUUGAUCCAGUCCUCAGAGUGCUACAGCAGGUUCCUUGUGCUCAGCACAAGCCUGGUUUCAUCUGUCUGUAACUGCUCUCUUCCAGUGGGGCCGGCUGGAGGGAGAGCAGAGGAGAGUCUGCCCUGGAGAACAAGAUCCAGUGCAGCCUUCGGAAGGACAGAGUAUGCAGAGCCAGCGAUGGCCUCCUCUCCCCUUUCCAUGAGCAUCUCUUCACUGUAUUUUGUGAUGUCAAGUAGCAGGGAAGCUCAGCUGUCCAGAAGAGGAACUUCAAAAAUGUUUUUAGCAGCAGUGAUCUAGUAUGUGUUGUUCAGGAAACAGCUCCUGUAUGGCUCCCCACUCUACAGUCAGUGCUGCUACUUCUGAUUUAGGAUUAAUGAACGUUUCCUCUAAGAAAAAGUGGGUUUUCGGGUCUGGGACUAGGGCUGCAUCCAGCACCUGCUGCGAUGAGGCCCUUGGUUCAGACCCAAAGAACCCAUCCAAAUCUCACCAUCACAAGAAACAGAAAAAGGAUUUCAGAAUACACCAACUGCGUCCCGCAGCACAAGGGAAUGACCUUCGAACAACUUGAGGCAGGUUGAAUUUACAUUUUACUUCAAAAAAAAAAAGGGGGGGGGGAAGUACAUACAUGAGGGGAAAAUGGGG